UGUUCCCGUGUUUAGCGAACUUCAAUGAUAGUAUGGAUAGAAAAAAAGCGGCAACAGGACGUGAUUUAUCAUAUAACCUGCGAUGUUUUAUUUAUGUAUCUUAUUUUAUUUGAUUUUUUCUUUUACCGCGCGUUUGAUUUACGUGGAGAAAUAACCACCGUCAACCUCGCGUGACUUUCAUUGCUACGGUUUGUUCGUACAAGGACAUUUGUAAUCACAUAUUAUUUACAACGGUACUUCUUCACGUCAAAUUUGGAACGAUGAACCAUUACGAAUUGUACGUGGGUACGCGAUUUGAUUACAAGCUUCGAUGUAACCUGAGAAUCAAACGUAAUCGAACUCCUCGAUACGAAGUGGACGAUAAACUGAACGCGGGGAUGCCCGUUAAAUUUUCGCGUGUUUGAGUGGAAGAAAUUUGAAAAUUGCAUCGAAAUGAAAAUAAAAUAACUAAACAGAAUCGAAAACUUCCGGACGAACGUAAUAACGUCGAUAGACGGACGAUGAAUCUUAUGGGCCGAUUUCACGAUCUUACGAUAAAAAUUAAAACCCAACCGACGAAUUAAACAUUUUUUACAGUUUAAUUGAUUCAGCUUGUAACAAGGUUCGACUUGGGGAGAUCUAUUUUUAAUUAAAAAUAACUGCAGACACGACGUACGAGGGAAUGAAAUUCAAGCAACGGCGAAUGGCGAUGUGCGAAAUGAAAAAAAUAAAUACAUAAGUAGCGUAGCAAAGCCGAGUGAAUAUAAGCAAAGCUGGGAGGCAUCGUCAUCGUCAGCCGGCCGGCCGGUCGACCGGCGUCUCGCACAGCUGAUUAUGGAGCCAAAUGAAUUCAUUUGAAAUACUAGUAGGUAUAUCGCGAGUCCCACGUUUCUAAUAAUAGAACUUCAUUAUCACGGAUAUCAGACUCGGAGUCCCGUCUUUGGUUCGAUAAGCGCGUUAGUUAAUUGGAAGAUCGCAACGUCGACUGAGGAAGAGUGAACGAGGGAAAAAGAGAAUGAAUCUCAAAAAAAUUAUACCUACGGUUAACCGCGAAGAGAACGUAGACGAAAAUGAUUCAAAGAUCUGAAGAGAAAUAGGACAUUGUGUCAACCUCUAAAAAAAAUCGUGUCGUAUCGUCGAACCUCACGCACGUUUUUAUGGCUAUAGUUCGGUUUCGUGCUCCUCUACUUCUACUGCUUCAACGAUUUCCUCUAGGAGAAUUCUGUCGUCACUAUUACUAAACACUGACAUAAUUCGUUAAUCCGCACCACUAUAAUCAACGCGUAUUUCACGUCCCACAGUCACAGAGAUGGAAAAAUAAAUCUCACACCAAACACAAAAAAAAAAAAAAAUACUUUC